rnacentral:lncRNA from 1 species
GUUCUUAGAGCUCCCGAGAUGGUGGCGGCCGGCUCCCAAGGUGGCAGCAAGACUUUUGUUCUCUGACCUGGGGUUCUUGGCCUCCUGGAUUCCAAAGAAUGGAACCUUGGGGCCAUGCGAUAAAUAUGCUGAGGCAUGUUUUCAAGGAGGGGAGAGAGAUUCCUUUUCCUCAGCCGGGCACAGAGCCAACCUGAAGUGUAGCACUGUGGUGACCUGGCGGGAUCUGCUCUCCAGUCACUCCCGAGGGCCCUUCUGGGGACAAGGAGACUUUUCUGUGCGGCCUGUUGAUUUGAGAUCGAGGCUAUCAAGCUACAGAUGAUCUUACAAAUGGAACCCCAAAUGAGCUCAACUAACAACUACCAAGGACCCCUGGACCAACCCGCUGGCCCUUUCAAUGGCCUAAAGAGUUCCCCUCUGGAGGACACUACAACUGCAGGGUCCUUUCUUUGCCCCUAUCCAGCAGGAAGUAGCUAGAGUGGUCAUCACCCAAUUCCCAACAGCAGUUGGGGUGUCUUGUUAAGUGGGGAGAUUGAGAGGUGAAGCCAGCUGGGCUUCUGGGUUGGGUGGGGACUUGGAGAACUUUUCUGUCUAGCUAGAGGAUUGUAAACACACCAAUCAGUGCUAUGUGUCUAGCUAGAGGUUUGUAAAUGCACCAAUCAGCACUCUGUAAAAACGGACCAAUCAGCACUCUGUAAAAUGGACCAAUCAGUAGGAUGCGGGCAGGGCCAAAUAAGGGAAUAAAAGCUGGCCACCUGAGUCAGCAGUGGCAACCCACUCGGGUCCCCUUCCAUGCUGUGGAAGCUUUGUUCUUUCACUCUUCACAAUAAAUCUUGCUGCUGCUCACUCUUUGGGUCCACACCACCUUUAUGAGCUGCAACACUCACUGCGAAGGUCUUCAGCUUCACUCCUGAAGUCAGCGAGACCACGAACCCAUGGGGAGGAACAAUCGACUUCAGACAUGCCACCUUUAAGAGCUGUAACACUCACUGCGAAGGUCUGUGGCUUCACUCCUGAAGUCAGCAAGACCACGAACCCACUGGAAGGAAGAAAUUUCGGACACAUCUGAACAUCUGAAUGAACAAACUCUGGACACGCCAUCUUUAAGAACUGUAACACUCACUGUGAGGGUUCAUGGGUUCAUUCUUGAAGUCAGCAAGACCAAGAACCCACCAGAAGGAACCAAUUCCGGACACAGACUCACUGCAACCUCCACCUCCUGGAUUCAAGUGAUUCUCCUGCCUCAGCCUCCGGAGUAGCUGUGCCUACAGGCACAAGCCACCACACACGGCUAAUUUUUUGUAUUUUUAGUAGAGAUGGGGUUUCACCAUGUUGCUCAGGCUGGUCUCCAACUCCUGAGCUCAAGUGAUCCACCUGUCUCGGCCUCCCAAAGUGUUGGGAUACAUGUGUGAGCCACUGUGCCCGGCCUCCUCUGGAUUAGUUCUUACAGGAAUAGAUUAGUUCUUGCUCGAGCAAGUUGUUAUAAAAGUGAGGUUGCCUCUAGUGUUUUGCAUCCUCACAUAUGUCUGCUUACCUCUUGACCUCUCUCUGUGUUAUGACCCAGCACAAAAGCCCUUACCAGAAGCCAAGCAGAUGCUGAUGCCACACCCCUUGGACUUCUCAGUCUACAGAGCCAUGAAACGAAUAAACCUCUCUUUAUAAAUUAUCCAGCUUCAGGUAUUCUGUUAUAGCAACACAAAAUGGAC